rnacentral:rRNA from 1 species
AUGAACGCUGGCGGCGUGCCUAAUACAUGCAAGUCGAACGAACAGACGAGGAGCUUGCUCCUCUGACGUUAGCGGCGGACGGGUGAGUAACACGUGGAUAACCUACCUAUAAGACUGGGAUAACUUCGGGAAACCGGAGCUAAUCCCGGAUAAUAUAUUGAACCGCUUGGUUCAAUAGUGAAAGACGGUUUUGCUGUCACUUAUAGAUGGAUCCGCGCCGCAUUAGCUAGUUGGUAAGGUAACGGCUUACCAAGGCAACGAUGCGUAGCCGACCUGAGAGGGUGGUCGGCCACCCUGGAACUGAGACACGGUCCAGACUCCUACGGGAGGCAGCAGUAGGGAAUCUUCCGCAGUAGGCGAGAGCCUGACGGAGCAACGCCGCGUGAGUGAUGAAGGUCUUCGGAUCGUGAAACUCUGUUAUUAGUGAAGAACAAAUGUGGAAGUAACUAUGCACGUAUUGACGGUACCGAAUCAGAAAGCCACGGCUAACUACGUG